rnacentral:rRNA from 1 species
AACGUCUCAGUUCGGAUUGUAGUCUGCAACUCGACUACAUGAAGCUGGAAUCGCUAGUAAUCGCAGAUCAGAAUGCUGCGGUGAAUACGUUCCCGGGUCUUGUACACACCGCCCGUCACACCAUGGGAGUCGGAAAUGCCCGAAGCCGGUGACCCAACCAAAAGGAGGGAGCCGUCGAAGGCAGGUCUGAUAACUGGGGUGAAGUCGUAACAAGGUAUC